UUGUUAUUGUUAUUAUUAUUAUUAUUACUAUUAUUAUUAUUAUACCAUUGGAUGGUACUUCUUUCGUUCCAUCGAUUUUGUAAAUAAUUCUGCAACGUUAGCGGCAAUUCAUCGAGAUAACUGUACAAAAAGAUGUCGGCUAGCUCGAGCUUGUCAAACUGUUGAACCAGCCUGCGUCAUUUAUUUGAGCAAAACAGGCCUAUAGCCGCUUAAUGGAGCGCCGAGGUGUUAACCUUAUACCUCCGGAAGGAUAGGGUGACCAACUUACCGCCAAGCGAUGGUGGCACCCGCAAGAAGCAGCAUCCCUAAAAAACAGAGCGUUCAAGGAUCGAAGUCUCGGCUCUCUCCAGUCGCGAAGAAUUUUUCUUGCGGGCCUUUUUCUUUAUCGAUGCGAUCUAGAAUCUAUUUAGUAAGGUAUGUAAUCGACUGUCUCUCUCUCGUGAGCCCGCUUUCUACAAUUCUUUAGAGCCGAGGAUUCACAGAAUUGCCUGGAAAUUAUUGGAUAUUCCAUUAUGAACAGAAAAUUAUUGGAUGUUCCAUCAUUGCCAGAAAAUUGUUUUCUACUUUCAAAUAAUUAUAUUCUUUGCUCUCGGCCCGAUCGAACCUUUUAUUAAAUUAGAUUAUUUAGAGCAGAGGAUUCACAGAAUUGCCUGGAAAUUAUUGGAUGUUCCAUUAUGAACAGAAAAUUAUUGGAUGUCCCAUCAUUGACAGAAAAUUGUUGGAUAGUCCAUUAGCGACGGAAGAUCGUUAGAUAUUAUUGGCAGAUAUUUAUUAGAUACUCCGUGAUCGAUAGAAAGUUAACGAAUAUUAUUUAUCGAAUUAACAGAACAUUUCUUGGAUGGAUUAGAAAGUGCACUCGGCAGAUUGCGAGAAGGGUCUUGUUCGCUGAACAGACUUCGCGUUGAUUGUGAAGCGGAAGCUGGCAAGAAGGGACAAGAAGAAGAAUCCUAGAAAUAAGAGGAGAAGAACGGAGAUCGGGAAAGAAAGAGGAGAAGACAGUUCUAAACAGCGGUUGCGGAGAGAGCGCGUCGCGCUCAAUUAAGCCGGCUGAAAUGAAAGUUUUCUAAUUAACAGGCGUCGCGCGAAGGGUGUCGGCGGGUACGCCGGCCCACUCGUAUCAUUCUUCGCGGCCACGGAUUCGAAGCCCGGCCGAAACGCGCGGACGAAACCGCGGAAUAAUUAAGUUUGUUUGCGCGAAGAAGUGGCCGGGGUUGUUAAAUCGAGCGUCAAUUUAUCUGGCCGGCGCGGAACGGGCUCGUUCGCUCUGUGUUCCCCCGGUGGAAAACGAAACCGGAAAGCCUGGUUGUAUACACUGCCAUUUAGAACUUCUCGACCGUUCUGUGCUAUGAGAAAGUAAUUCGAGUUUUUCGACCCGACGGAAAAGCGUUUCUGAACUUUCCGCGGUUCGAGUUUAACGCGUGCCGAUGGUGGAAACGGAUGGAACCACGUCCGGCUAAAAUCGAGACAACGAUACCGCUAUGAAAAUAAAUUAUACGGGGCGUUAUCGUGCGAGCGGGAACGGGGUUAAUUCCACGUGAAGAAGUACGUCGAAUACGCGGAGCGACUGCAACCGAUGAAAACGAUAUGCAGAAGAAUUGUAAAAAACAACGCCUUCGCGAUUUUCUUCGCGAUUCCGAUCGAAUGCAAUUUUCUCGAAAAAAUUGUACGCCAGCUGAUAAACUAAUCCGACUAAUACGACAAAAUUCAAGUCGUUGCUCCAAUUUCGAAGAAGUUGUUUCGCUUGAAACGUAUCCAAAUAUUAUUUACUGCGCUACCUUAUUUGCGAACAAUACGCUUUCCGUCGAAUAAUUCCGCAGGAAUCGGUUCGUGCUUACAGCGCUAAUGUCGCGCUGAAGCUCGGAAGACUAUACCGCCGAUAUUAGCCGAAAUUCCAUGGAAUUUAUGCGCGUACGUCGUUGCAGCUUUCCGAUCGAUGGCAUUAAGUGCGAGCACGUUCAUCACAUUAUUGUACUUAGACCUGUUUGCGCUCGUGAAAUUUAAUUCGCCGGCUCUGCCGCGUGCAAAACGGUUAAACGCGUUUAUUGGCGACAGAGAGAGAGAGAGAGAGAGAGAGAGAGAGAGAG